rnacentral:tRNA from 1 species
GGGGGUAUAGCUUAGUGGUUGAACACAUGCCUAGCAUGCACGAGGUCCUGGGUUCAAUCCCUAGUGCCUCCA